rnacentral:misc_RNA from 1 species
UGGAACGCCUCUAAGUCAGAAUCCAACAGAGUAAAAUCCAAGUAAGAUGUGAAAGUUGAAGUGCCCAACUAUGGUGAUCUUUUUCACAAAGUUGGGGGAAACUAUUAGAUGUUUCAAUUUGAGUAACAAACUCUUUACUCAACUUGCUAAUGAUUCAUUUUGUUGACAAGUAGAGUAGUGCCAAGUGAAGCACUUUGUGCUGAUCUUUGGUCAAAGGAAAAUGUUACCUGGUUGAUUCUGCCAGUA